rnacentral:rRNA from 1 species
CAGUAGCCACGGGAAUACGAUGGGGGCUAGCGUUGCUCGGAAUGACUGGGCGUAAAGGGCGCGUAGGCGGAUGACACAGUCAGGCGUGAAAUUCCUGGGCUCAACCUGGGGGCUGCGCUUGAUACAUGUUGUCUAGAGUGUGGAAGAGGGUCGUGGAAUUCCCAGUGUAGAGGUGAAAUUCGUAGAUAUUGGGAAGAACACCGGUGGCGAAGGCGGCGACCUGGUCCUUGACUGACGCUGAGGCGCGAAAGCGUGGGGAGCAAACAGGAUUAGAUACCCCCGUAGUCCCUGUCUCUUAUAA